AGUGAACGCUGGCGGCAGGCCUAACACAUGCAAGUCGAACGGUAGCACAGAGGAGCUUGCUCCUUGGGUGACGAGUGGCGGACGGGUGAGGAAUACAUCGGAAUCUACCCUGUCGUGGGGGAUAACGUAGGGAAACUUACGCUAAUACCGCAUACGACCGGAGGUUGAAAGCAGGGGACCGCAAGGCCUUGCGCGAUUGGAUGAGCCGAUGUCCGAUUAGCUAGUUGGUAAGGUAAAGGCUUACCAAGGCGACGAUCGGUAGCUGGUCUGAGAGGAUGAUCAGCCACACUGGAACUGAGACACGGUCCAGACUCCUACGGGAGGCAGCAGUGGGGAAUAUUGGACAAUGGGCGCAAGCCUGAUCCAGCCAUGCCGCGUGUGUGAAGAAGGCCUUCGGGUUGUAAAGCACUUUUGUUGGGAAAGAAAAGCGGUCGGUUAAUACCCGGUCGUACUGACGGUACCCAAAGAAUAAGCACCGGCUAACUUCGUGCCAGCCGCCGCCGUAAGAC
rnacentral:rRNA from 1 species